rnacentral:pre_miRNA from 1 species
GCUUGCUUUUGCGAAUAUUCUGCGCUCUGAGUGGCUGUGAUAUGUUCAGUUGAGUCAGCAUAUCACAGUCAAUGCUUUGGGCUCAGAAUAUUCUGCUCUC